UGAAGUUGAGGGCCAGCUGGCUGUGGCAUCGCUCACCCCCAUGAAUAGCCAGAGUUAAUUCAGAUAGUCAUGCUGUCCAGGCAGGCAUCCCUCCUCCUUAACUCUCUGCUCGACCCUCCCAAAGACACGCUGUUGAGGAGGACGGCUGUCCCCAAACAGAGGCGACGGCUCCGGGGUCGAGGGUGCAUGAGUCACUGUGCUCCCCUGAGCCCCAGACUGGCUCCCACCCGCUGCGCCUGGCGCUAGGGGAUAGCGCUGCUAUCGGGGCUGCUGCCCGCAGUCAGCUGCUAGUG
rnacentral:sRNA from 1 species